GUCAGCUCGUGUCGUGAGAUGUUGGGUUAAGUCCCGCAACGAGCGCAACCCUUGCCAUUAGUUGCUACGAAAGGGCACUCUAAUGGGACUGCCGGUGACAAACCGGAGGAAGGUGGGGAUGACGUCAAGUCCUCAUGGCCCUAAUAGGUGGGGCUAGAAACGUCAUACAAUGGCCGGUACAAAGGGUAGCCAAGCCGCGAGGUGGAGCCAAUCCCAUAAAGCCGGUCGUAGUCCGGAUCGCAGUCUGCAACUCGACUGCGUGAAGUCGGAAUCGCUAGUAAUCGUGAAUCAGCAUGCCACGGUGAAUACGUUCCCGGGCCUUGUACACACCGCCCGU
rnacentral:rRNA from 1 species